UUCGCUGUCAGCACAAAGCCGAUCGCGGGCCCCGAUCCAAUGAACUGUGAGCUCGCGACCUGGGCAGAAAUCGAGAAUUGGACGCUUCACCAACUAGGCCGGCCAGGCACCUGGGGCUUUUGCUUUAUGUAUCUGCCCUUGCUCUGCUACUUUCUGGCUGUGUGACCUUGUACGGAUUACUUUGCGUCUCUGUGCCCCAUUUUCCACAUCCGAUAAAAUUAAUCAUACUAUUAUCUCAUAGGAUUGCUGUGAAGACUAAACGAGAUAACAACGGGAAAGCUCUUAGAACAGUGGUGGGCACCCAGUAAGGGCUCAAACAUGUAAACAUUUGCCGUAGGUCUAUGUAUGGCUCUUGUGAUUUUUCUUUGAGUCAAGCAGCAGCUCUCCUUUCUCGUCUUUUCUUUGUGUUUGGAUUCAGGCCGUGCGAGCGCAAUCUGCCUGCCUUGGAGGUCCCUCCAUCCGAAAGACCAUUUCCAUUUCCGGGACGACCCUCUCAGGAUUCCUCUGGGAACCCAGCCGCGGGGCACCGCUCCCCGCUUUCCUCUGGGCUCCAGAAUGACCCACGCCAAGCACAGAGCAGUCCCCAGCAUGGCUGCCGCGUUCCGGUUUCUUUGUCAAUGUGAAGCGUCCUCGUUGCCGGUCGCGUUGCCAUGCCAACGCCCUUUCUGUGCUCUCGGAGUGGCCAGCAGGGGGAGCUACGCGGCCGUUGCCGAACCCCAGGCGGGGCUUUGUGACCGGCCAGGGCUUCUCCGGAGGAGUCCUAAGGACAGUACCUGUGGAUCUUAACGUUAGGGAAGAUAGAAACCGUCCUGGGCAUGGCAUGGAGAUUCACUGGGUACUUCUGCAGAUAGAACCUUAGGAGACAGAAAGCUGGAUGUUCUAGCUGUCGAGAGCUUUGCCGUCAGACAUCCCUCUGAUGAGAUUUCUUAGCUACCUUACCUCCAGCGAGUGGCUUAAACUCUUCCAGGCACGGUUUCUUCAUACAAAAAACUGGAGAAUCCAGGCUGCCCUCAGGGGGAUGCUGGAAGAGUCUCUGUGUGGCUAAUAGAGAUCUCAGCCACGGAGGCAUUCGGGGAAUGCUAGGUAUCAUUGCUCAGUGAAGGCUGAGCCAAUUUCGAAGCACCCCGACCAGAAUUCUCUCUCUCGGCUCUUUUCUCUCUCCUGGCCCGAUGGCCUCCUUUUCUCUCCCUUCAGCUCUGCAUUCUCUCCCUGCCCUUCCUGCCUGUCGCUGAGGCCUGGAACCCACGCUGUGGACCUCAUCCUGGGCGGCGUCUAUCCUCCCCGUUCCUGGAUACCUGGCUGUGACCCACUGGUGACAUAAAUUUGAUGGGUUGUGACCAGCGUUAAAAAAAUAACUGUUGCUGACAUUGAGUCUUCAGUGAAUAGGAACAUCAUCAUCUCUCAGUGGAAGAAGCAGGCGAGAGAGAGAGAGAGAAGAGAAUGUUUUUAUAAUAUGGGUCUUGGCCAGAUAAUAGAAGGGAUGCUCCAAGGCGUCUGCCUCUAUUCUGACUCAUGCGUUGGCUGUGAGCUUGAGGAAGUCAUGACAUUCUCUAUAGAAGGGAACUGGAGCGCUCCCUCAACUCAGCGCAGAUAACAUUCUGAUAACAGGAGCUUCAAGAUCACUGGAAACAAAGCACUGCUGUUCACUUGUGCGGUCUGGCCCUUGCAGGAUGGUGCUGGAGGCCGCAUCUGGGCUUCCAGCCAGCGGGGGAAUGUAGGGAAAAGAGGACGUUUCUUCUUCUCAUAAACAAUCAACCCGUCGACAAGCAGGCGGCCCUCUUAACCUGAACUCCCUGUGUUAACCGAAAGCCAGGAGGACUUUGACCAUGCAGGCUCCGUUGCAUAACUCUUUUCAAUGGGCUAUUGUUUUCCUGACUGGAUGUUUUCCAUGAUGGAAAUGAUUCGUGUGCCAUGCUGGGCAGGAGAUCAUAUGUAAAUGCUUCCUGGGUUUGAUCUCCAUACGGGGCAUGAAUUAACGCUUGCGCGAAGGCACAGAGUAGGUAGUAAAUGGAUUUAAUUAACGUAAAGUAUUUGAGCCAUCACGGUGGGCAGUGGUGACCUCAGGUGUGGGUACCUGCUGCUUUACAGCUUGGUCAGCACCAGAAAUGGCCACAUUUCGUGCUUAAACCACUCAAAGGAGUUUGACGGUGGAAAAGCCAGGGUGGAGGUGGGGGAGUCAGGCCGGGAGCCAGGCGCCUUUAAUGUGUUUCUGCUUUUGCUGUGAACCUGGGCAAGUUGUGACACGUUCUAAAGAUUUACCCAACUGUUCAAGGACAGCGAUGGGGUGAGGGGGGUGGGAAGCUUGCAGAGAGCUCCCGAGAGGAAUCCUGGAUGCCAAGCCACCUUCCAGAAAGGAGAGGGUCGCUUUCCCUCUCUCCGCCACGGGCGUGAACAGGGACCAUGCGGUUUGCAAAGGAGCCUCUACAGCCUUCCCCUUGCCCUCCGCCAACCACAGUGGACUCUGUCUUUGCCAGCUGCCUUCCUGGGCUCUUCCGUUGCGGAGUCAGGGCGAGGCGGGGAGAGAAAGGACUGGAGACUCCUGGAGGCACGUGCUGAGGAGUGGCCGUGGCAGGAGAGUCAGAAAUUGCCCGACGGGAGAGAAUCAGUAGUGGAGGUGACAUGAAGGAAGCAGAGAAGGAGAGGCAGCGGUCCACCGGGGACCGGGAGGGGGCCGUCCUGUUCCGCUUUCAGACAGAUGAGGUUCCCUGCAGCCGAGCCCUGCCUGACUCCUAAGAGAACCCUGGUCCGAAGACAGCUGUGAGGAGCCUGGCCCGCAUUCAGGGGCGACUUCGUGUUGCGAUCCCGGCCACCACGUCACAGGGACUGAUGUGGCUGGCUGGGUCCUUGACCUUCUGCUGUAUGCCUCACUUCUCUUCCCCUCUGGAACCCGGUUGCUCACGUCCAACCCGGAAGGGGCAGUGGCUGAGAUGGAAGGGGAGGAAAACCUGAGAGGGGACCCUGUACCUCUGGGCUCUGCAUGGUCUUCAACUCAACUUACCCACAACAUGAAGUUCGUGCGGAAUGGAAGGUUCAAGAAGUCUCUUUUCCAGGAGACUUUGCAGUCUUUCUUAAUCACCAAAAGUUUGCCUUAGGGUUCAUCGAGAAGAUCCAACCAACAUUUUCAGAUGGGUGUAGGUGUGAGAGUCGGAUCUCUCCCACAUGGCUUUGAAGACCCCAGCAACAGUCAGCUUCCACGGCGUGUGGGGCUCUGGGCUUGGGUCGGAGGGCUGGCCCCAGGCUCCUGUGGGGAUACCCCGCUCCCCCACCUUUCCCCCAGGGACCCCUUUGUGGCUCCCAACAUGCUGUCCUGCAGAAAGCUAAUGUUGGCCGCAUCUGUUCCUUGAGCUGGUCAAUUCCCGUGUUAAGAAUGGGUGGCUCAGUCGGUUAAGCGUCCGACUUCGGCUCGGGUCACGAUCUCACGGUUCGUGAGUUCGAGCCCCGCAUCGGGCUCUGUGCUGACAGGCUCGGAGCCUGGAGCCCGCUUCGGAUUCUGGGUCUCCUUC